AAAAGAUAGCGGUGGUACACCUUAGAGGACACCAACAGGGGACCGAUUACAAGACUAGAGGAAAUAAUGCAGCAGACCUAGAAGCUAAGCAAGCUGCCCUCAGGGAAUUGGUCCUGAGGCAGGAGAGGCAGGAAGAAUUGACACAUGAUGAGGCCCCUUCGUUUACACCGAAGGAAGAACAAAAACUGAAUCAAAUGGGAAUAACUAAAAACACAGAAGGGAGGUGGUAUUUAGCUGACGGGAGAGAGGUACUGCCUAAGUCAAUAGCAUCUCAGGUGCUGACCCAGUUGCACGAACGGACCCACUGGGGAAGCCAAGCUUUAAUAGAUCAUUUUGCCACUAAGCCAUUUUCUAGAGUCCAAAUUGACUUUACCGAAUUUCCUAAAGUAGGAAGAUAUAAAUAUGUAUUAGUCAUAAUAGACCACCUCACACAUUAUGUAGAGGCAUUCCCCACAACUAAAGCAACAGCUCAGGUAGUAACAAAAAUAUUACUCGAACAAAUCAUCCCUAGGUAUGGGG